rnacentral:rRNA from 1 species
AACGAACGCUGGCGGCGCGCCUAAUACAUGCAAGUCGAGCGAGAAGACGUAGCAAUACGUUUGUAAAGCGGCGAACGGAUGAGGAAUACAUGGGUAACCUACCCUCGAGUGGGGAAUAACUAGCCGAAAGGUUAGCUAAUACCGCGUACGCUCCUUGGACUUCGGUUCAGGGAGGAAAGCGAUACCGUGGGUAUCGCGCUCUUGGAUGGGCUCAUGUCCUAUCAGCUUGUGGUGAGGUAACGGCUCACCAAGGCUUCGACGGGCAGCUGGUCUGAGAGGACAAUCAGCCACACUGGCACUGCGACACGGGCCAGACUCCUACGGGAGGCAGCAGUAAGGAAUAUUGCGCGAUGGGCGAAAGCCUGACGCAGCGACGCCGCGUGGGGGAUGAAGGUCUUCGGAUUGUAAACCCCUUUCGGGAGGGAAGAUGGAACGAGCAAUCGUUCGGACGGUACCUCCAGAAGCAGCCACGGCUAACUUCGUGCCAGCAGCCGCC